rnacentral:rRNA from 1 species
GACGAACGCUGGCGGCGUGCCUAAUACAUGCAAGUCGAGCGGACGGAUGGGAGCUUGCUCCCAGACCGUCAGCGGCGGACGGGUGAGUAACACGUGGGCAACCUGCCUGUAAGACUGGGAUAACUCCGGGAAACCGGGGCUAAUACCGGAUAACUCUUUCCCUCACAUGAGGGAAAGCUGAAAGAUGGCAUCUCGCUAUCACUUACAGAUGGGCCCGCGGCGCAUUAGCUAGUUGGUGAGGUAACGGCUCACCAAGGCGACGAUGCGUAGCCGACCUGAGAGGGUGAUCGGCCACACUGGGACUGAGACACGGCCCAGACCCCUACGGGAGGCAGCAGUAGGGAAUCUUCCGCAAUGGACGAAAGUCUGACGGAGCAACGCCGCGUGAGUGAUGAAGGUUUUCGGAUCGUAAAACUCUGUUGUCAGGGAAGAACAAGUACCGGAGUAACUGCCGGUACCUUGACGGUACCUGACCAGAAAGCCACGGCUAACUACGUG